rnacentral:rRNA from 1 species
AUGAACGCUGGCGGCGUGCCUAAUACAUGCAAGUCGAGCGAACAGACGAGGAGCUUGCUCCUCUGACGUUAGCGGCGGACGGGUGAGUAACACGUGGAUAACCUACCUAUAAGACUGGGAUAACUUCGCGAAACCGGAGCUAAUACCGGAUAAUAUAUUGAACCGCAUGGUUCAAUAGUGAAAGACGGUUUUGCUGUCACUUAUAGAUGGAUCCGCGCCGCAUUAGCUAGUUGGUAAGGUAACGGCUUACCAAGGCAACGAUGCGUAGCCGACCUGAGAGGGUGAUCGGCCACACUGGAACUGAGACACGGUCCAGACUCCUACGGGAGGCAGCAGUAGGGAAUCUUCCGCAAUGGGCGAAAGCCUGACGGAGCAACGCCGCGUGAGUGAUGAAGGUCUUCGGAUCGUAAAACUCUGUUAUUAGGGAAGAACAAAUGUGUAAGUAACUAUGCACGUCUUGACGGUACCUAAUCAGAAAGCCACGGCUAACUACGUG